rnacentral:rRNA from 1 species
AUUGAACGCUGGCGGCAGGCCUAACACAUGCAAGUCGAGCGGAUGAAGGGAGCUUGCUCCUGGAUACAGCGGCGGACGGGUGAGUAAUGCCUAGGAAUCUGCCUGGUAGUGGGGGAUAACGUCCGUAAACGGGCGCUAAUACCGCAUACGUCCAGAGGGAGAAAGUGGGGGAUCUUCGGACCUCACGCUAUCAGAUGAGCCUGGGUCGGAUUAGCUAGUUGGUGGGGUAAAGGCCUACCAAGGCGACGAUCCGUAACUGGUCUGAGAGGGUGAUCAGUCACACUGGAACUGAGACACGGUCCAGACUCCUACGGGAGGCAGCAGUGGGGAAUAUUGGGCAAUGGGCGAAAGCCUGAUCCAGCCAUGCCGCGUGUGUGAUGAAGGUCUUCGGAUUGUAAAGCACUUUAAGUUGGGAGGAAGAACAGUAAGUUAAUACCUUGCUGUUUUGACGUUACCAACAGAGUAAGCACCGGCUAACUUCGUG